rnacentral:ribozyme from 1 species
CCAUGGAACCUUUCGUGGAUCAACGCGGGGACAAGCCAGACCAGUACCAAGGUGGAGUGGUCCUGUUCUCGCUUGACGACGCUUG